ensembl:lncRNA
AGAGAGGGUUAGAGAGAGAGAGAGAGGAGGGGGGGUUAGAGAAAGAGGGUUAGAGAGAGAGAGAGAGAGAGAGAAAGAGGGUUAGAGAAAGAGGGUUAGAGAGAGAAUGAGAGAGAGAAAGAGGGUUAGAGAGAGGGUUAGAGAAAGAGAGGGUUAGAGAGAGGGUUGAGAGAGAGAGAGAGAGAGAGGGUUAGAGAAAGAGAGAGAGAGGGUUAGAGAAAGAGAAAGAGAGACAGAGAGGGUUAGAGAGAGAGAGAGAAAGGUAGAGUAAGAGAGGGUUAGAGCGAGCAAGAGAGAGAGGGUUAGAGAGAGAGAGAGGGUUAGAGAGAGGGUUGAGAGAGAGAGAGAGAGAGGGUUAGAGAAAGAGAGAGAGAGGGUUAGAGAAAGAGAAAGAGAGACAGAGAGGGUUAGAGAGAGAGAGAGAGAAAGGUAGAGUAAGAGAGGGUUAGAGAGAGAUAGAGAGAGAGAAAGAGAGAGAGAGAAUUUAAUUGGGAGAGGUAGAGUAAGAGAGAGAGGGAGAGAGAGGUAGAGUAAGAGAGAGAGGGAGAGAGAGGUAGAGUAAGAGAGAGAGGGAGAGAGAGAGAGAGAGAAAGAGAAAGAGAGAGAGGUAGAGUAAGAGAGAGGGUUAGAGAGAGAGAGGGUUAGAGUUAGAGAGAGAGGGAGAGAGGGUUAGAGAGAGA